rnacentral:misc_RNA from 1 species
AGAAUUGAAAAAAUGUAAGAUUAGUAAAAUGGAGGAAUAGAGCAUCUGAUAAAAGUAAACUAAAAAUUUCCUGGGGUGACAAAUCUACCGAAAGUGUUGUUGCCGCGUAAGUGUUCAGAAAAUUUGGAUCGUGGAUUUUGGCUCCAAAUCUUGAAGACUGCAGAUUUUGCGGAUUUCUGCGCUUAAGUCAAGUUGUAAAACUUGAUGAUUACCAAGUAUAUGUUUACAAUGUAAAAUACCGGAUGGGAGGAAGGGAGGAGCUCAACAAAAGGUGGAUAGAGCGUGAAACCCAUGUACUUUAUGAGAGCCUUGAUGGAUAUAACCUGAUCCCCUUAGUUCCUCCUCAUCAUUUUACAUCCAGUCAGUUUAAUAUCAAUCGAUCUAAUCAAACCAGAUCAAAUCUGGACAGAUCAAGGACGCUCGGACGAUCCCAUCCUAAAGAUCUAGGAAACUUCUACACAGGAACCAUCGGGAGAUCAAACUAUAACCAUGCGACAAUCAACAGAGCCAACCUAUCCCAUAAACCUUUAAGAAGAUGUGAGCAUGAUCACUGUGCCCGGAGUCAACCGAACCUUGAUGAGCUGACCCCUCAGCUCCUGAUCACACAUGCCAGCGUGGCGGUCAUGGCAUCUGCAGAGCAACAAGCUUCAGGAUUGGAGAGAGGAGAAGAGCGGUAUGAAUAUAAGACCCGGAGUACUGACUGCUGUCAAUCCUGGUGUGAGAGAGGAGGAGUGGAACGUAUUGUUGUUCUUCUCCUUCUUGGAGCUCUUCUUAUCAUAUUCUCUACGGUUGUGUUAUCCUUGUUUUACCUGAAAACUAUGAAUACGACGGGACUAAAUGUCGUCUUCUCUCGACAGGAGGUUUCCGAGAGAACUUUACUAAAAGAUCCUUCACCCAGUCAUCCUUCUCCCAACCUACCCUGCUCCACACACCAGUGCCUCACUUUGGCAGCUCGAAUAGAAUCUGUGUCGAGCAGGCAGGGUGACCCAUGUUCUAGCUUCUAUGAAGCUGCGUGUGGAGGUUGGGUUGGAUCCAGGAAUAUUACGCGACCCAUGGAUACUAUCUCAGUGCUAGACCAACUCAAGCUCGACAUUGAUAAGAAUAUCAGGGACCUGAUAAUGUCCUUGGGAGAUUCCAAUAACGGGUUUGGUAAACUCAAAUCCUUCUUUAUCUCCUGCAGCGACGAAGAUACUAUCCGGAGAAGGAGAAGUGAACCUAUCAUCAACUUUAUCAAGGAACACUUUUCUCCAGCCCUGGAUCCUAUGACGGGGGAUACUGGAGAUCUUACAGAUAUUAUCACAGAUUUGUUAAUGUUUGGUGGUUCAUCGAUGUUUGAUGUGAGCGUAGAUAUUCAUCCUUUUAAUAGUUCUCAAUAUAUUAUUCUUGUUAAACUACCUUCACACUCAAACCUUCCAGCACUCUUUCCUGUACCUGGAGAUCCAUUGUAUCCAACCCUAGAUCCAUUGUAUCCAACCCUAGAUCCAUUGUAUCCAACCCUAGAUCCAUUGUAUCCAACCCUAGAACCAACCAAACAGUAUCCAACCCCUGAUAACGAGUAUCCAAACCUAGGACCAAAUUCAUUGUAUCCAAAAACAAAAUCAGCAUUUGAAAGUUCUGGGUUUGAACCUAGUUCAUCAAGUUCUGAUUCUCACGGGAUAUUCUCUGAUCCUAAACCAGGUUCAAACCUCAAACCAAUCAACAUUUUCUCUUCCUUUAACCACAAAAACAAGUCGGAGCAAGGAAGGCAAAAGAGAGAACUCAAGCAAACCCAGCAAAAUAUAAUAUCCAGUCAACAACUUUUUCAGGAUAUUCAGAAUGCCGCUGAAUCGCACAGUAUAGGAAACCUGAUAAACCUCGUGGAAGAAUUUGAUUUGCUCUCCUCCUACUCACAACCCUUCAAACAAACUACAGCAGAUGAAAUUGUCGGAUUCAUUGCAGCACUCAGCAAGGCACUACCAGACCGUAAUCAGGAGCUCAAAGCUUUCAGAGAAAACAGAGUUUACAACCUUUAUACUCUUCAAGAACUCCAGAGCUGUUUCAAGUAUGUGAACUGGGGUCUCUUGAUGGACAGGUUGGUUGGAAAGCAGAACGGUGAGGAAAGAUACAUGGUUCAGUUUCCUUCACAUCUUCGACAGAUUGAGAGAGUAGUUUCUCUCUUCGGAGUUAGAAUUGCUCGUCUCGGCUUACUGGUUCUCUACGGGAGAGAUUUCCUUAGUAGUCUCGUUAAUCUAAACAGUUCUCAAGAGAGGUGGAGGACGUGUAGUCAGGUUACUCAGGGUAUACUUCCAAUACCAUCCUCUCAUCUCUAUAUUAAUUCAGCUACACAGUUUGACAGGAACCAACUCCUCUCAAGGGUAAAAGAUCUUGGUUCAAAAGUUAAAACCGAAACUCUGAAACAUUUGGAUAGAACGUCUUGGAUGUCAAGUAAAUCCAAGAGACGAGUAUUGAGGAAGGUUGAGAGGGUUCAGAUAGACGUUGAUAUUCCUCAUAUUUUCUUAGAUAGAGAUCUAGUCCUACAAUCAAUACAAAAUAUUAACAUAUCACAAAAUGAUUACUUUGGGAAUGUAGUUUCUCUGGUUCGGAUUCACAAAGAAAGGAUUUAUUCAUUGCUCAGGAGAAGGGUUAACAGAGCUGAAUAUUCUUGGAGUGUUAUAACUUCACCGCUAGGUGUCAAUGCUUUCCAUAUUCGCCAACUGAACAGUGUGUUGGUUCCCUAUGGUCUGGUCUCAAGUUUUCUACAUAUUUCUCCAGGAGCCCCGCAGUAUACUACAGAUGCUCCAGUAGCAUUUAUCAUAGCACAUGAGUUGAUACAUAGCGUAGAUCCUACAGGAGUAGGUUGGGAUGAAAACGGAAAACUUUCAGAUAUACUAGAUAAUACUUCACUUAAUAGGUAUGAUAAGAAGCUUGAGUGUGUGAAGGAUACGAUAUCCAAGGUUGGACAAAUCCAGGAUACGUAUCAGGGUCAGAGAAUAAGGAUAGAAUCCAAUCCGGAGAUAUCCAUUGGAGAAUCUAUUGCUGAUAUAGAAGCAAUGAACGUUGUUAGCAAUAUGUUUGAUUAUAAAACCAGAAUUGCUGGAAGCCACUUCUCUCCUUCACAGCUGUUCUUCCUCAAUAUUGCUCAGGGUUACUGUGGAAUAAUGGGCAGUCUAGCGAAAUUAGUUCAUCUUCACAUCAACCCACAUUCACCUUCACAAUCUAGAAUUGAUAACUUGGCUCUCUUCUCCUCCAGCUUCUCUGAAACCUUCCAAUGUCCUACAGGAUCCAGGCUUUAUCCUGUAAACCAGUGCUUGGUAUUCGGAGCUAGAUAAGCCAGUGUUCGGAGCUAGAUAAACCAGUGCUCGGUAUUCGGAGAUAGAUAAACCAGUGCUCGGUAUUCGGAGCUAGAUAAACCAAUACUCGGCAUUCGGAGUUAGAUAAACCAGUGCUCGGUAUUCGGUGAUAGAUAAACCAGUGUUCGGUUUUCGGAGCUAGGUUAACCAGUCCUCGGUAUUCGAGGCUAGGUAAACCAGUGCUCGGUAUUCGGAGCUAGAAAAAACAGUGCUCGGUAUUCGGAUCUAGAUAAACCAGUGCUCGGUAUUCGGAUCUAUGUAAACUAAACCAGUCCUCGGGUUUCGAUGCUAGGUAAACCAGUGCUCUGUAUUCGAAGCUAGAUAAACCAAUGUUCUUUAUUUGGAGCUAGAUAAACCAGUGCUCGGUAUUCGAAGCUAGGUAAAACAAUGUUGUGUAUUCGGAGCUAAGUAAACCAGUGCUCUGUAUUCGGAACUAGGUAAACCAGUGCUCUGUAUUCGAAGCUAGAUAAAACAGUACUCUGUAUACGGAGAUAGGUAAACCAGUGCUCUGUAUUCGAAGCUAGGUAAUCCAGUGCUCUGUAUUCGAAGCUAACGAAACCAGUGUUCGGUAUUAGGAGCUAGAUAAACCAACGUUCGGUAUUCUGAGCUAGAUAAACCAGUGCUUGGAAUGGUUUUGUACCACUUAUACAAUGAAUACGUAUAAAGAUGUUGAUGAUAUUCUGUUGUAAUUGUAUAGAGUUAGAACUUGGUACUCUGCAUAGUAAAUUAUGGUAUAGUGUAACCAUAAACCUUAUAUUUCUCCUAACCGUUAACUUGUUACAGUCCACAGUUCUAACAUUCCUUUCAUACUUUUCUUUUCCCAGUUGUUUUAUUUUGUUUUCACUUGGUAUCCUUUAAACCUUUAUCUGAUCAAUAAUGUGGAAUAUAUCGUUGUUUUUCUAGAAUAAAAAGCGUUUUAAUUUUGAGAAUUUCCUGCAAAUUUUCUAAAGCAGAAAAGAGAAACCACAAAUGAGAAUAAAAAUAGUUAUAAAGAGAAUUUGUUGGAUAAAUCAUAAACAAAGCUCUGAAUGGUACCGUGGUGAAUCGGAUAUAUCAUUCUA